rnacentral:rRNA from 1 species
GACGAACGCUGGCGGCGUGCCUAAUACAUGCAAGUAGAACGCAGUUGCGAACGGGUGAGUAACGCGUAGGUACCUGCCUCAUAGCGGGGGAUAACUAUUGGAAACGAUAGCUAAUACCGCAUACUGUGAGAUGGACCUGCGUUGUAUUAGCUAGUUGGUGAGGUAAAGGCUCACCAAGGCGACGAUACAUAGCCGACCUGAGCGGGUGGUCGGACAGACUGGGACUGAGACACGGCGCAGACUCCUACGGGAGGCAGCAGUAGGGAAUCUUCGGGAAUGGACGGAAGUCUGACAGAGCAACGCCGGGUGAGUGAAGACGGUGUGCGGAUCGUAAAGCUAUGUUGUCAGAGAAGCGGUAACUAAACAGAAAGGGACGGCUAACUACGUGCCAGCCGCCGCGGUAAUUC